rnacentral:lncRNA from 10 species
CAAUUCCACAAAGAAAAGACUUCUUUCGGUUGUUCUGGAGUCUUUCUAAAACAGCUUCUACUGGGAGAUUAAUUAUAGAAGCCACAGAAUUUCCUGAAAAUGAUUUGCAGUAUAAAGGUGAGUGGCUCCAAAUGUCAGUGGUUGUCAGCUAGAUCUUCAGCACAUGGAAUUUUGAAGACCAAGGAGAGAUAGGAGAACGGGUCAUCAUAGGGGUUGAUGGGCCAGCUUUAUUCUAAAUGACUGAAGACUUCUGUUCUUUUCAACAAACACAGUCCUCCAAUUAGGAGCUGCAAAUAAGAUUAUAUGCCCUGAAUAAGUCUGAAAAGGUCCUUUUAUAAUUAGAAAGUUUGUGUGUGGGAAGUGGAAGCAGCAUGAAGUGCUCACUGUGGCUUUAUUAAAAGAGUGACAUGAAGAUUUUCCCAAAUCCUCAUCUGAGUGCUCGAAAAUGAUAAAAUAAAAAUUAUGAAAAACUGUAUGCAUAUUCCAUUUCUUCUUUUUCUUUCUGAAAGCUUUCACAUUUAUGCUAUAGAAACAAGUCAAUGGUUUUUUAAAAUUUUAUCAGGCAUAUUCGAAACAGACUGUCAUUUGAUAGUGUGCAGAUUGUUAAAAUACAAGUGAAAAUGAUUUCAAUGAAGGGAUGAAGUUUAAUACAGUGCAUACUUUAUAUUUUCAUUUUAACACUUUUAUGAUCGUCACUCCAUCACUACAGUGACAUAAUAUUUUGUUAAAUAUGGUUGGACUUAACUUAUAUUAAGCUUCCUGGUCUGUGGACACACAGGACUGAUUGUGCUCAGCUACUCUUCUAGACCAAUCAGACUUUAGUAUGUAAAUGGACAUUUCCUGGAUGAACCAAUGACCGUCCCCCACGCCCCCCCGCCCUCCCCCCCCCCCCCCCACACACAUUGCACUCGGGACCCAGUUGCAUACAGCCCUUACAGCUUCACAGAAGGAAGAUGCCUGCUGGACACAGCUUCCUAUGAGCUAAGACGGGAAGUCAAGGCUGGCAGGAAAGAGGAAGAGCUGAGAGGCUAGAUAAUAAUAGGAAAAUAACAGUUCCAGGCACUGUGGACAGAACCACAGCCAAUCUGCGGCUCAGCCACUUCCACAAAUAUAUUUUGAGUGCUUACAAUGUGCCAGACACUGUCCGGGGGCUGGAGAUACAGCAGUGGACAGAGACAGAUAUCCCUGUCCUCAGAGAGCUGACAUUCUAGACUUUCUGAACUAAUGUGACUCCAGUGGAUUGUUAUUUUUUGUAGUUUAAGUUAUGAAAAAAUUAUUAUUCGGAGAUAAAAUUAUUUAACAAUAUUGAAUGUGCUCUUUCCAGCUGCAUUCUCACUACCCCACUCCUAUCCCAUCCAGAAAUUUAGACACACUCCUCCCUGUAGGGAUCACCAUGCCACACAGACUAUAAAUGUGUUCAGCUGCUGGGCUGUUCUACUGAGAGGACUUUUAUGUCUAGAUGGAACCAUAGGCUUUACAUCAUAGCAAGGUGUAAUUUUGACAAAUGGUUCUAAGUCCUGGUUGCACAAUAGAGUCAUCUGGGGAAGCUUUAUAAAAACACCUAAUGCCUAUGAUCCCUUGAAUAUCACACCGACAGCACAGGAAACAGAAGCAAAAGUAGACAAAUGGGGCUGCAUUGAACUAAAAAGUUUCUGCACAGCAAAGGAAACAAUCAGCAGAGUGAAAAGGCAACCUGUGGAAUAGGAGAGAAUAUUUGCAAACCAUAUAUCUGAUAAAGGGUUAGUAUGGAAAAUAUGUAAGAAACUCAUACAAUUUAAUAGCAAAAAAAUCAAUAGCCUAAUUUAAAAAUGGGAAAAUGACUUGAAUAGACAUUUCUCCAAAGAAAAUAUACAAAUGGUCAACAGGUGUAUGAAAAGAUGCUCAACAUCAGUAAUCAUCAAAGAAAUGUAAAUCAAAACCACAAUAAAAUACCAUCUGACACCGGUGUGGACAGCCACUAUUAAAAGAAAAAAAAGGAAAAGAAGAAACAGAAGGAAAGAAAAGAAUAAAUGUUGGUUAGGAAAUGGAGAAACUGGAACCCUUGUACGCUGUUGGUGGGGAAAAAAGAUAGAGCAGCUGCUAUGAAAAACGGUAUGGAGAUUCCUCAAAAAAUUAAAAAUAGAGCUACCAUAUGAUCCAGCAUUCCCAUGUCUGGGUAUUUAUGCAAAAGAACUGAAAUCAGGAUCUUGAAGAGAUAUUUGUCCUCCAUGUUUCUUGCAACACUACUCACAAUAGCUAAGAGGUAGAAACAACCUAAAGGCCCACCAACUGAUGAAUGGAUAAAGAAAAUGUGGUGGGUGCAUCCAGUGGAAUAUUAUUCAGCUUUAAAACAGAAGGAAAUCCUGACACAUGCUACAACACAGAAGAACUUGAGGACAUUAUGAUAUGUGAAAUAGGCCAGUCACAGAAAGACAAAUACUGUAUGAUUCCACGUGUAUGAGGUAUCUACUAAAGCAGUCAAACUCAUGGAAGGAGAAAUGUGAAUGGUGAUACCAAGGACUAGUGAGGGAGAGAAAUGGGGAGCUGCUGUUCAAUGAUUAUAGACUUUCAGUCAUGCAAGAUGAAAAAUUUCUAGAGAUUUGCACAACAGAUAUGUAUAACAAUGGGCAUGUAGUUAACAAUACUGUACUGUACACUUAAAAAUUUGUUGAGAGGGUAUAUUUCAUGUAUGUUGUUGGGUUUUUUUUUACCAUAAUAAAAACAAAAAUGCAAACAAAAAACACCUAAUGCCUGGCUCCGCUCUAACCAAUUAAAUCAGAAUUUCUGGGGGUUGGGUGUUGGGCAUCCCUUUGUUGUUUUUGAUGAUGUUGUUUUUCCUCUUUUAGCUGUGCACAUUAGAGAGCUUCAUGCUAAAAAGUCUCCAUAAAACAUUAUCAUCUUCUUCUUCUUUUUUUUUUUUUUUUCUUGAGACAGGGUCUCACUCUGUCACCCAGGCUGGACUGCAGGGACCCAUUUUGGCUCACUGCGGCCUCAACCUCCUGGACUCAAGCAAUCCUCCCACCUCAGCCUCCCAAGCAGCUGGGACCACAGGCGUGCGCCACAAUGCCUGGCUAAAAUAGUUUUGUUUUUUUGUUUGUAGAUAUGGGGUUUCUCCAUGUUUCCCAGGCUGGUCUCGAACUCCUGAGCUCAAGCAAUAUGCCGAUGUCAGCCUCCCAAAGUUCUGGAUUACAGGCAUGAGCCACUAUCUUCUUUUUUUAAAAUAUCCAUCCCUCAUCUCAUAUUUGCUCUCUAACAAUAACCGUAAUACUUAAUAAUAUCUGUUUUAAUCAAUGGCACCAUUGUCCUUCAAGUUACCUGCCUGGAAAUGUGAAUGUCAUACUAAAUUCACUCCAACUGCCAGUCAUCAAUAGUGUUAAUUCUACAUCUUAAAGAUCUAUCCAUCCCCACCACUCCAACCACAUCUUUAGGAUGGGUUUUUCUCACUUCUAAAAUUGAUAUCUAGUUAUGUUGCUCCACCUUUGAAAAUUUUCACCAAAUAGCCUAACUUUCAGAAUGAACUUUAAACUAAAGCUAAUAUGCCUCUUUUGCCUACUCUAUCCACUGAAAUAGAAGGAAGGAGGGUCAACUGAAAAGAGGUAAGCUUUACAUAGUAUAUUUUAUAUGCCUAUCAUUCAUAUUUCUUUCUGAGUACUAAUAAAAUUAGGGUUUGGGUUUUGACUGGACCUUGCUAUUCUAAACGUUGCAAUUGAUUUCUAUAUGGCUAUGCAUGUCCUGCCCAAGUCUACAUGAUCUUACCCUUGCCAACUGCUCAGCCUCAUCUUCACAUGCAAGCAAUGCUCCAUCAUUUCCAGUCUCCUCUCAACUCCUCAGAAGAGCCAUCUCUCUGCCAUUUGAACAUUGGCACAGGUUGUUCAAACUCUCUACACCUUCCUUCUUCCUGCCCUCCACCAGCUCACUAAUCCUUCUCCAGACUUCAAGAUCAGCUUAUAUAUUACAUUGGCUUAGGGUUGGGAACAGGGAUGGUCACAGCAACAGAUGAUAUAACAAAGAUGGCUGGCAGUGCCCAAGGACUUUUGAGCCUAUGCACCUUCAUUUCCAAAGCUGCCUUCUUGAAGCCAUCCUGGCCAGCUUCAUGGAGUUUACAGGACCCACUCAUCCCUUUGUCUUUUACAGGUUACCCAAAAAGAGAUGCUCUAGAGGAAAUGGCACAAAGCCAUAGAAUUUUAAUUGCAGUUUGUAAUUACAAAUGUGAGUAAGUCAAAGUUUGCAAAAUCUGUAAAACUGAGAAAUUACUAUGAAUUUUGCAACAAUGACAAGAAUAGUUGUGAGUAGGUCCACACAAACAGAUGAGUUAUAUAAAUACAGGAAGCAACUUUUCUCACCCAUCCCCAACCACUACAACCAAAGCCAAAAUAUACCUGUUGGCUACCACCCACUAAAAUAUGAGCGGGAGAGGUCAAAUGAGAAGAGGUGAGAUUUAUAUAGCAUAUUUUGUAUCCUUAUAAUUAAUAUUUCUUUCUGAGUACUAACGAAAUUGGAAUUUGAGUUUUAAGUGGGCCUUGCUGUUCUAAACGGUGCAAUUGAUUUGGAUAUUGCUAUUGAUUUGCUUUUUAGGCUAUUAUCUACUUGACAACCAGGAAGAAUGAUCUUCUUUGGAUCUGACCUGCCAGAUUUGAUUCCCAAGGAAUGAUGAACAUCCAUUAGAGGGUCCAUAUAUAUUAAUGAGCAAGAGGGUGUUGAACUGCAUACUCUGUAAUUAUAUCCACAAUUGCUUCCACAUUUAAAACAAGUUUUGAUAUUAUUUGCAUGCAUCAUUGAAAACCAAUUAUUUAUACAUGUUGCAAUUUUGACUCAUAAAAAAUGAACAUUUGUUUUAUACUUUUUGAGUAGAGAAAAAUGCAAUGAAUAGAAUAUAAUCGGUUCCCUAAAAUUAUCAGUUACCAAAAAUAUUCCUUUUUGAUCCAAGAAAGUCUGUGAAAUAUGAAUGUUUGCAUUAUUUAGUUUGUUUACUUGCUUGUAGUUAUUCUUGUUAAAAUUUAAAAGUCCAAUUAUUUGACUAUGACAUAGGAAUUAGGUCCAAAUAAUUAGAGAAGCAUUUGCCCAUUGGUAAUUAAAGUUUCUGGGUGAAAGGAAUUUAAAAGGUUAUAUAAGAGAUAAUAAGUAAUAUUAUCUUCUAGUGAGUAACUAUUCCCUUAGUUCUUUGGAAAGGGAAUAUUAACUCUUCCAGUCUGUAUUUUUGUUCAUUUUAUUCAAAUGUGACUUGGAAGGAAGGGUUAGUUGUAGUUAAUAGAUACCAGCUACAUGCCAGACACCGCCAUGAAAACUCGGAACACAAAGACAAAUAAGAAAAACCUCCUUCCUCAAGAAACUUACAUUUCAGUGGGCUGCAGUGCCUAGAAGUUUAAAAUAUCACAUAUCGGAAGUUAUCUUCUAUCCAAUAUGCUCUCCACCAACACUGAGGAAAGCCAAGACCUCGCAUUAAGUGUAGGAACAAUCAUAAAUAUUUCAGGGGUUACAAAAAUGUCUGCAGGCUCAUAAAAUUUUGGAACUUAUGGGGAAAAAUUAAAUUUACUGAUGGGAACACACAGACGAAGCCAAGCUUGCUCAUUUCUUCUGCAGCCCCUUCACAUAUGGGAGACAGGGUAGUAGGGAGGUUUGGAGAAGUUGAGUGCACUGGUCCUGGAGUUAGGCUAGAAGGAGUCUUUGCUGUCUUUUAGGUUAUGACUUUAAGCAUCUUAUGUAGCAACCCCUUGCCUCAGUUUAUACUGCUGCAAAAUGGAAGUAAUAAUUGUGCUCACCCCAUAGGACUGUUACAAAGAUUAAUUGAUAACAGGGUCAAAAGGGGCUUAAUCAACACAAGCUACUACUGUAAUGAUCACAUUCACUUCUCUCUCAACCCAAAUUCUUCAGUAUCAUUGGAAUUCAGUUCUAAAUCCAUCUCAAUUAGGUCCCUUUAAGAUGAACUCUAGACAUUUCCUGAGGCUGGCUUGAAAAGGAGAGGGAGUAGGGGAUGAAUUCUUUCUCACUCUCUGCCAUCAGAUUUGAAACGACUUCAUUAGUGGCCCAUUUUUUUUUUUCAUACUGCAAGCUUUAGGGGCUUUGAAGAAAUCCACCUAAAAAUGCAGAUUCCCCUGGGAAUGGCCUAUUCCAGUUUUAAGGAGAACAGAGGUGUCAGGUGUAAGGCUCUGUGUUGAGGGGAAGCGAGGGCUUUGCAGCUGCCUUUGUAAACACUAUAUUAGGAAGGAAAAAAAAAUCCUGGCUCAAUGCCACCUUUUCCCCCCGUGCCCUGAGAACUGUUGCAGGUCCUUCCCCAAAGCCACAUCUGUGAAAGACAGAACUGGUAGGAACAAUCCUCAAUAUACAAGUGCCUAGGAAGCCAGGCAGAUGACGAGCUCAGGGGAGCUGGGAGAAGAGUGGCCAAUCCAUCCUUCUAUUGGCAGAAACUUCAAGGAAGCAGAGGUUUGUACAGGUCAGAGUAUUUUUUUCACUAUGUCUUAGAUUGCUGAGGUGAGGAGAAUGCAGCACAGUGAAGCCAACACAGAAUCAAGUGGCCCUUCUCUUCCAUCACUGAUGUUCUGAAUCACAUUGCUGUGGUGGGUAAUAUUGCUAUCUGCAGGAGAAGAAAUGAAAUAGAGAUGGUGAUGCUUUGUCUGAUUAAACCAGCGCUGCCCAGUAGAAAGAGUGAGAGGCACAAACAUGAAGGUGUCAUUUUAAACUUUCUAGUAACCCAUAUCUAAAAAGAGGGGAAAGAAAGAGAAAUUUAUUUUAACAAAGUGUUUUCUUUAACCCAACAUAUCCAGUACACCAUCAUUUCAUCAAGUAACCAAUUAAAAAAUUACUAAUAAGAGCUUUUACAUUCCUUUUUCUAAGGCUUCAAAAUCUGGUGUGGAUUUUAUACCUAUAGCACAUUGCAAUUUGGACCAGGCACAUUUCAGGGCUCAACAGCUUCAUGUGCCUAGUGGCUAUCAUUGUGGACAGAAAAGGACUAAACUCUUCUCUAAAAAUUGACAUAAAGCAGAAACUUCCUGGUCGUUAGACCAAUAUAGUGCUCUCCAUUUGAGUGCAUUGGAAUGAUCUGAGAUUCAAUGUAUAAAUUACAGGCUUUUCAGCCCCAAGCUCUGAACUGUCACUUGAUCUCUCUUCUGCCAGCAGGAGGCAGUGGUCACUCGAAUCCCAAAUCCCUGGUCCUCAGCCUCACCUAAGAAGUAUCUUUUUGGUCAAUUUCUUUCCAUUUCUUAGAGUUUCCAAGAAGUUCAGUGUUACAGCUUUCUGGGGUACUCACACCUACUUUUAAGAGUUUCCAGGUCUUUCUGACAAAAGGCCAUGCAGGUAAGCGUCAAGAGCUGGAGAAGUGGCAGAUGUACUUUGUAAACAAUGCAGCAAACGCAGAUACUGGGUUGCUUAAGCAAGUCCUUGCAAAGGGGCAGGAAUGGGCAGAUGAGGCCUUCACCCACCACCCCCACAAGGCUUUGCUUUCCUUCCUUUCCAAAUGAUCCCACCCUGUCCUCAGGAAUCCAUAAUCCAUGAUGAAUACCUUUCUCCUGAUCACUCUCUCAGUCUCAGAAUGGUCCCUUUGAGGCCAUCUGCUCUGGACUCUGGCUUACUCUACAGCUCACAAAGAGGUUCCUCACUUUCCUGUACCUCCAGAGAUCCUACUGGUCUCAGUCCAAAGGUCUCCACCUUAGAGAAAUCUUUUAUUGACCCACAACUAGAAUAGGUGUAAGUGAGAUAAGUGUGCAUUCUUCUUAGCUCACAGUGGUGUUCUCUUAAUUGUGGCACCUCCCACAUUUUAUAAUUAUGGUCAACCUGGGUGAUUGUCUAAUUGUACUAUAAUCUAUUCCCCCAUAUGCUUCAUGUAAACAGAAAAUGGAUCUGUUUUGCCCACGUUUAAUAGAGAUAAUAUGAAAUGCUAGCCCCUCUUCCCCACCCUGUCGAGCCCUAUUGUGAGUUUGUUUAUUUAUUCAAGAUAGGGUCUUGCUCUGUCACCCAGGCUAGAGUGCAAUGGCACCAUCACGGUUCCCUGCAGCCUUAACCUCCUUGGCUCAAACAAUUCUCCCGCCUCAGCCUCCCAAGUAGCUGAGACUACAGGUGUGUGCCACCAAGCCUGGCUACUUUUUUAAUUUUUUGUAGAGACAGGGCCUUGGUAUGUUGCCCACGCUGGUCUCAAAUUCCUGGGCUCAAGUGAUUCUGCCACCUCGGCCUCCCAAAGUGCUGGAAUUACAGGCAUGAGCUACCUGGCCGGGCCCUUAAUGUGAGUUUAAUACGAUCCUAAACUCAGAGAAACUCAGUCCCCACACCCAACUAAAUAUUCAUUCAACUGUUUUUGUUCUCCUUGUUUUAUUUUUGUAUUUAAAUGUACACGGUUCUCCUCUGGUUCCUAUUUACAACCCUUCAUGAAGGUGCCUCACCAGGUGGGCAUAGCCUCCUUUGCACUGUAUUCCUUUCCCCUCCUCCAGAACCAAGGUUUUCCCCUGCUCCACCAAACCCUGUUGAACAUCUGCCUCCCAUCUCCCAGCUUCUCUGAUAUUUCAGAGACCCCUAGAAUUUUGCCUCUGUCCUAUGGAUAGACCAAGAACUUUCUGUGUUUCUAUUGCUAUGCUAUAUUCUUGAAGGGAAGGAAGACAUACCCUGAAAUCUCUACCUUUUAUUGUGAACUACAACUGCAAAAUCACAUCAAAAGGCUUAAGGGAAAAUAUUGGCAAAUUGAAAAGGCAGACUAGGAGCAGCUUGAUGUCCAGGCAACUACAAGUUCCUGUAUUUCAUAAGUCAACCUGGGCUUCAUUUUUUACUAUUUCUGCCUGUAGCUAUGACUUGUUUCAAAAUCCUACCUGAUACAUUAAGAAUUUAGAAAGCCUCAUGCAGGCUUCCUAUUUUCCACAAAUGACAAUAAACUAAAAGUCCUCCAGAGACAUUUUGGUCAUAGAAUAUGAUUGCAAGAUGGUGAUUUAGCCUACUGCCAGCAAAGAGCUCUUGUCUGGAAAGAACUAGUGCCAGAGACAGUGGCUUUGGAUGAUGGUCCUUCUGGUUUCAAUGAGCACCAUGAGUCACUGAAAAUAAAUGUCCGGGCAGCUUAAGGGGUCUCUGAUUGCAUGUAGAUCCAUGCCUGUGAAUGGUAGUACUAGAAAGGAUGAAAUGUGUGUGAGCUACAUAACAAAAGGAGGUUGGGCUGGAUGACUAGGAUGUGUUCUUGGAGAGAAGAGCUGAAGGUUUUCUUCUGUGGUUUUCAGAGAAAACAACAACAAAAUGAAACUCAGAGUGACCUGCACAGACCUAUUGAUAACAGCCAGUUCUCAUAGAGCAUUUUCACAUCAAUCUUCUGAGACAGACAGGGUAAGAGCAUUAUAGCCAUUGCAGAGGUGGGGAAACUGAGUCUAAGACCUGUUGAGGGACUAAGAGUAGCAAACAAAUAUGUAUUCAAAACUUGAAUACAUAUUUUCCUACUUCAUUCACUAUUCAAUAUUAUCUUAUCUCUCAGUUUUACUUUUACAUUUAAAGCCAAAAUUUAUUAACCUAGAAUGACUAUAUGUAGAGGACUGCUUACACAAACAAAAGGUGGUGUCUUUGAAUUGCAUGGUGCAAGUGACUUGAAAAUUACCUUAACCUACUAAUAUGAUUAGAAAGUCUGCUGAAGGGUGUGGUAAUCAUGUGCAUUUCUACAGAUUAUGACACUGUUUUUACACACGUACAAUGAUGUAGAACAGGAAACCAUAAUUACUUGUAACCAGAUUUAGAAAAAUUUUUUUGUUGUCUUGAUAUUUUUUCAGCAUGUUGUCCUAGAAAGCAGGCAAAGGAGGAAAAAGAGAAUGUGUACAAAGAAAAUACCCUUUUUCAUACAGAAAAAAGGGCAGCAUUAUAAGGAAGAACCAUGUACACACACACACACACACACACACAUACAAAUACACACACAUAUAUCUAUUCUUCUUUUCCUCUAGGUCUUAAUAAAAACACAAAAGCAGCUUCUGCAAACAGUAGACAGUUCCAGGGGAAAAGCCAGUGCCCAGAGCACUCCCAACCCAAUCAAUCAAACCCUAGACCUAGAGCACAAUUGAGCCAUUUUCUUUUUAUUACAACAAUUCAAAAAUUUGGAAGAGAAAAACCCAUCUGUAAUCUUACCAGCCCAACAUGACUAUUUCCAGUUUUGCAAAUUUCCUUCUAGUUUUUCUUAAUAUGAGUAUUUUUUCUAAAGUCCCUAACAUGUAGUCAUUUUUUUUGAGUUGCAUCAAAUACUUCAGAAGAAAAUAAAUUUAAAUGCCAUCACACUCUUGAAUUUGUGGUGGCCAUGUUAUAUUUACUUUGGAAGUUAUCUCAGAACUUUUUUUUUGAGACAGAGUCUCACUCUUUCACCCAGGCUGGAGUGCAGUGACACAAUCUCGGCUCACUGCAACCACCGCCUUCUGGGUUCAAGCGAUUAUCAUGCCUCAGUGUCCUGAGUAGCUGGGAUUACAGGCAUGCACCACCACACCCAGUUAGCUUUUUGUAUUUUUAGUACAGACAGGGUUUCACCAUGUCGGCCAGGCUAGUCUCGAACUCCUGGCCUUAAAUGCCCACCUCUGCCUCCCAAAGUGCUAGGAUUACAGGUGUGUGCCACCAUGCCCAGCCUAUUUUAGAACUUUAUCUCUUAGGCAAAAGUUUCUGCUUCAGAAGUUGUACUCAAGUUAAAGAGAAUUUAUUAAUGUUGCCCUCAGAUCACACAUGGAGCCCAGCG